AUGGAUGAGGAGGAGGCUUCCGGCGUUAGCAGCAGCAGCGGCCGGAAGAGGAGAAAUCAGAAGGCCGCCGGAGUGGCUUCUAAUGAGCGCCAUGGUAACAACAACGGCACUCCCGGGAAAAAUGCAGGGUCUGCCGGGGCUCGCAAGCCGAAGAAGAGAAAGCUUGAUGCAGAGGUCAGCCAAGACGAUCAGGUCUGCGAGCGGUGUGACAGUGGGUUGCAUGGGGACGCCAUGCUGCUGUGCGACCGUUGUGAUAAAGGGUGGCAUAUGUACUGUUUAUCACCUCCGCUCGAGAGUGUGCCUCCGGGGAACUGGUACUGCUCGGACUGCAAGAACCCUGACAGUGAUUGUUUCGGAUUCGUCGAAAGGAGGAACACCUGUCAGCUUGAUGCUUUCAAGCGAUUUGAUGACAAGGUGAGAAGAAAGUGGUUUGGGCCAAGACCUCCUAGCCGUGUUCAGGUCGAGAAGCUGUUCUGGGAGAUUGUGGAGGGCAAGGCAGGGGAGCUGGAGGUUAUGUAUGGGAGUGACAUUGACACUUCGGAUUACGGAAGUGGGUUUCCUCGCCUUGGCGAUCCGGUGCCAGCAUCAGUGGAUCCAGAGGCGUGGCAGAAGUACUGCUCCAGCCCUUGGAAUCUCAACAAUUUUCCCAACCUGCCAGGUUCAGUUCUUCGGACCGUCAAGGAUAAAAUUCCUGGUGUAAUGGUCCCGUGGCUCUACAUGGGGAUGCUGUUUUCAUCAUUUUGUUGGCAUGUUGAGGACCAUUGCUUUUAUUCAAUUAAUUAUUUACAUUGGGGCGAACCAAAAUGUUGGUAUGGGGUACCUGGAGCGGAGGCUAAUGCUUUUGAGCGGGUCAUGCGCAAGGCUUUACCUGAUCUAUUUGAUGCACAACCUGACCUACUAUUUCACCUCGUCACAAUGCUGAAUCCGUCAGUUUUACAAGCAAAUGGUGUUCCUGUUUACAGUGUCAUGCAGGAGCCUGGCAACUUCGUGAUUACUUUUCCAAGGUCUUACCAUGGUGGUUUCAAUUUAGGUUUAAAUUGCGCCGAGGCUGUUAAUUUUGCUCCUGCUGACUGGCUGCCUCAUGGUGGAAUUGGAGCUGAACUGUACCGUAUGUACCGAAAGGCACCUGUUUUGUCCCAUGAAGAGCUUUUGUAUGUGGUCGCAAAGAACGGUGUGGACAAUAAAUCACUUUCCUACUUAAAAGAAGAAGUUGAGAGGGUAUUUGUUAAAGAGAAAAAAUGUCGAGAGGAGCUAUGGAUUAAUGGGAUUAUCAAAUCCAGUCCAAUGCAACCAAGGAGUAACCCAAACUUUAUUGGAAAUGAAGAGCACUGGAAGCACCUUUGUGAAUGCAGUCCAGAGAAGCGUCGCUUACUUUACCGCCACACCCUUGCAGAGUUGGGUGAUUUAGCUUCCGAGGUCAAGGCUAGUCUCUCAGGGGAGAAUGUUAAGCAGAGCCCCUUGUUGCUUAAUGACAUCCCCACGCCAUCUAAAAAGGGCAAAGAUCAGCAUAUGUCAUAUGCACAACUUGCUAAGGACUGGCUUUCAAAAUCUGAUCAUAUUCUCCAUAUGCCAUUCUUGGAUACUGCAUAUUCCACUGCCUUGGAAGCUGCUGAACAAUUUCUGUGGGGUGACCAUGACAUGGACUCUGUUCGGAACAUGGCACUAAAAUUAACCGAGGCUAAAAGAUGGGGUCUGAGUGUUAGAAAUUGCCUUUCCAAAAUCGAUGAAUGUUUGCUUCGUAAAGACAAGUGUUCUGAGAAAGUAAAGUAUGUGGAUAUCGAAGAAUUAGUUGCUGUGAGAUGUGAAGCAUCCAGUGAACCUGGUCUUGCACAGCUGCAGGACUAUGCAGAGAGAGGAAAAAUGCUGAUUAGUGAAAUAAACAUUGCAUUAUCAUCCUGCUCAACGGUUGACCACUUGGAAGCGCUGUACUCUCGGGCUUCUGAAUUCCCUGUCGAGCUAACUGAAACAUCAAUGUUGUCUUGUGAGAUUUCUUCUGCAAAGUCUUGGUUGAAGAAAGCACGUGAUUUACUUGAAGUGAAUAAACUGGGCGUCAUUGACAUAGAUUGCCUGAAUACUCUGAAAUUAGAGAUGACACAACUUCGAGCUCUAGUUCCAGAAGUUGAUCUUGUUUCAAAACUGUGGAAAGAAGCUGAAUCAUUGAGAAUGCAGUGUCAAUCAUAUCUCCAAGACUCACCUGGUCUAAAGGAACUGGAGAGUUUCCUCCUUGCGUUGGAUGGUACCAAGUUCAACAUUCCAGAGCUGAACCUUCUUAAGCAACGUUAUUCAGGUGCUUGCUCCUGGGCAAGUCAUGUUAAUAGCAUGCUCACAAAACUUUUUGAAAGGAAUGAUUACCACAACAUUGUUGAGGAGUUAACAGCCAUUCUAAAGGACGGCAAAUCACUGAGAGUAAAAGUGGACGAACUGCCAUUUGUUGAGAAAGAACUAAAGAGGUCCUUCUGCAGGAAGCAAGCAUCCGAGGCUCUUGCAACACAAAUGUCCCUGCAGUUUAUUAAAGAAAUUCUGAUACAAGCCUCCAUAUUAACUAUUGAAGAGGAGCAACCAUUUGUUGGUCUGUCGGAGGUGCUAAAAAAUGCCACUGCUUGGGAAGAGAAGGCUCGACGUAUGCUUGAGCAGUCAGCUUCUCUCUCUGAGUUUGAGGAUCAUAUCCGGUGGUCAGAGGAUAUAAAAGCUAUACUUCCAUCUGAACAAGUUAUGAAAGCAGAGAUUAUUGCUGCUAGGUUGUGGAUGGACAAAUGUCAGGCCUAUCUGAGACCUAGAUGUGAUAGACUUGGAUUUGGAGUUUGUCUUAAAGUUGAUGACUUGAAGGAUUUAGUCUGUCAGCCUGCAACUAUGAAAGUCAUUCUCGACACUUCUGCACUUAAUUCUGUUCUCAGUAAUAUUGAAGAGUGGGAAAAGAAUUCACAAAGUCUGCUAAGCAGUUUAAGAACCCUAGUGCAUUUGAAUGUGAUCGGCUCUACAGUUGACCCACUUGAAAGAGAUUUGGAGGAGCUGCAAAGUAAAAUUAGUGCAGAAAUAGAAAGUGGAUUAUCUCUUGGUUUUGAGUUAAAGGUUCUUAAUGAAAUGAAAGAUUCUUUGGUGACACUUGGAUGGAUGUUGACAGCACUAUCUUUCUGCUGCAGGAUUCCCUUGUUAGAGGCUGUUGAUCGAGCAAUUGAAGAAGCUGUCCACCUUCCUGCAUCAUUGUCAAGCUGCCCUUUAGCUACAUUGUUGAUGAGCGGAUUAUCUUGGCUAAGGAAAGCACUUGUUUUGCUUCCUGGUUCUGAAAACUCUGUAAAAUAUAGACUGGAAGAUGUCGAAAAUGUUUUGGCAGAACAUCAGGAAAUUGCUGUCCCUUAUUCUAUGAUGACUGCCAAGCUCGAGGAUGCUAUAAACAAACAUAAGUCAUGGACAGAGCAAUGUAAUGCCUUCUUUAUGUCGCGUGAUCACCAAUCCUGGACUGAACUACUAAGGCUCAGAGACAGUGGCCGGUCUGUUGCACUUGAUUGUUGUGAAAUGGAUAGGGUUGUUCUUGAUAUUAAAAAGAUUGAUGGGUGGUUCAAUCAGUGCCGCUGUACUCUUUCUCCUGAUGUCAAUGAUAAUGGUUCUUUACUCUCCAUUCUCCUGAAGAUCAGAGGAUCAUUGGACAACGCUUCUAUGUUAUAUGCUGAGGAUUGUAAGAGGAAAGGGUUCUGUGUCAUCUGUUCAUGUGACGUGGGAGAUGAUGUAGCCUCCAGAUGUGUAAUAUGUCAAGACUGGUACCACAGCUCUUGUGCCGAACCACUGCUUGCUUCUAAACGAACAACCACUGAAUAUAUUUGUCCAUUUUGCUUCUGUUUAGAAAGCGGGGAUCCAUUAGAGAAAGGAAUACAAGAGAAGAUCUCUAAAGGGAACCGUCCUGCUCUUAGUGCACUUAGUGAACUCCUCAGUUCUACAAAGGGUUUCUACACAGGAAUUGAGGAGUUGCAUUUGUUGGAGGAAAUUAUCAAGAAGGGUUGUGACUUUAAGUCCUCUUUGGUGCAAAUUUUGCAUGACGUGGAUUCUUGCAACGGGAAUGAUCUUAGUGUGAUGUGCAAACCUCUUCUGGUUGCUCUAAAGGCAACAUCAGCUGCUGGCUUAUAUGAUCAGCAGAUCAACCGUAACAUUGAGUUGGUAUUGAACAGAUAUAUAUGGAAGAAACGAAUUCAUAAAAUCUUGUACGGUGGAAAAAAGGCAUCGAUCCAACACGUGAUGCGCCUUGAUAAAGAGGGUUCAAAUUUAGAGAUAUCUGGUGAAGAUUUCUUCAAGUCGCAGAUUUGGGAAAUAAAGGAAACCAGUCAGCAGUGGCUAGCCAAAGCAGGAAAGGCUGCGUUUGAUUGUGGCGAGCUUCCACUUGAUCUUGUUUAUGGACUUAUUGUUCAAGGGGAGAAUCUAUCUGUACACGUCGAGAAGGAACUGAAGUUACUCAGAGAUCGGAGCAUUCUUUAUUGCAUUUGCCGCAAGCCAUAUGAUAACAGGGCCAUGAUAGCAUGCGAUCAGUGUGAUGAGUGGUAUCAUUUUGAUUGUAUCAACUUGUGUGGCCCCCCUCCAAAAACAUUCUAUUGUCCUGCUUGCAGUCCUAAUAAUGGCGAAGGGUUUAUAUCGCUUCCCCGGUCAGCCAGGGAGGAGGAUAGAUCAAGCGCCGAAGCAGGACCUCACACUCCUCCAGCAUCUGGUGACGAACCAGAAACUGUGGAGGAUAAUAAGUGUAACAGCAGCAACACACGGGAGAAAUCCCAGGUUAGGGUAGAUUUGGUAAAGCUUCUGCGUCAAGAUAGCGAAAUAGACAACACGUGGCGGGACAGCAAAAGGAUUCCCCACAGAACAGCCAGAAGACGUAGCGAUUUCAUGGGACAUUCCCAAGACAUUUCUUCCCCUUUUAAAGGCCCUAAUUUGUAG
rnacentral:rRNA from 1 species